rnacentral:lncRNA from 1 species
UACUUCACUCUUAACAUGAAAUCAAAAUAUUUUUGAAAUCAGUCCUUGGGGUCCGGAGAAAACCCGGUUCUAAUAUUCCACAUGAACAGUCGCUUUACAAAGCCUGUCUUAUUUACCCAGUAGUGGGAGUGAUUGAAAUAGGUUCCUUACUUCACUUUUAACAUGAAAUUAAAAUAUUUUUGAAAUCGGUCAAAGGAGACCCGAGAAAAAAACUGAUUCAAAUGUUCUCCUCAGAUAGUCACUUAACAAAGUCUUUGGCAUUUGCCCAGUACUGGGAGUGGUCAAAGUAGGUUCUUUACUUCACUCUUAACAUGAAAUCAAAAUAUUUUUGAAAUCAGUCCUUGGGGUCCGGAGAAAACCCGGUUCUAAUAUUCCACAUGAACAGUCGCUUUACAAAGCCUGUCUUAUUUACCCAGUAGUGGGAGUGAUUGAAAUAGGUUCCUUAAUUCACUUUUAACAUGAAAUUAAAAUAUUUUUGAAAUCGGUCAAAGGAGACCCGAGAAAAAAACUGAUUCAAAUGUUCUCCUCAGAUAGUCACUUAACAAAGUCUUUGGCAUUUGCCCAGUACUGGGAGUGGUCAAAGUAGGUUCUUUACUUCACUCUUAACAUGAAAUCAAAAUAUUUUUGAAAUCAGUCCUUGGGGUCCGGAGAAAACCCGGUUCUAAUAUUCCACAUGAACAGUCGCUUUACAAAGCCUGUCUUAUUUACCCAGUAGUGGGAGUGAUUGAAAUAGGUUCCUUAAUUCACUUUUAACAUGAAAUUAAAAUAUUUUUGAAAUCGGUCAAAGGAGACCCGAGAAAAAAACUGAUUCAAAUGUUCUCCUCAGAUAGUCACUUAACAAAGUCUUUGGCAUUUGCCCAGUACUGGGAGUGGUCAAAGUAGGUUCUUUACUUCACUCUUAACAUGAAAUCAAAAUAUUUUUGAAAUCAGUCCUUGGGGUCCGGAGAAAACCCGGUUCUAAUAUUCCACAUGAACAGUCGCUUUACAAAGCCUGUCUUAUUUACCCAGUAGUGGGAGUGAUUGAAAUAGGUUCCUUACUUCACUUUUAACAUGAAAUUAAAAUAUUUUUGAAAUCGGUCAAAGGAGACCCGAGAAAAAAACUGAUUCAAAUGUUCUCCUCAGAUAGUCACUUAACAAAGCCUUUGGCAUUUGCCCAGUAGUGGCAGUGGUCAAAGUAGGUUCUUUACUUCACUCUUAACAUGAAAUCAAAAUAUUUUUGAAAUCAGUCCUUGGGGUCCGGAGAAAACCCGGUUCUAAUAUUCCACAUGAACAGUCGCUUUACAAAGCCUGUCUUAUUUACCCAGUAGUGGGAGUGAUUGAAAUAGGUUCCUUAAUUCACUUUUAACAUGAAAUUAAAAUAUUUUUGAAAUCGGUCAAAGGAGACCCGAGAAAAAAACUGAUUCAAAUGUUCUCCUCAGAUAGUCACUUAACAAAGUCUUUGGCAUUUGCCCAGUACUGGGAGUGGUCAAAGUAGGUUCUUUACUUCACUCUUAACAUGAAAUCAAAAUAUUUUUGAAAUCAGUCCUUGGGGUCCGGAGAAAACCCGGUUCUAAUAUUCCACAUGAACAGUCGCUUUACAAAGCCUGUCUUAUUUACCCAGUAGUGGGAGUGAUUGAAAUAGGUUCCUUACUUCACUUUUAACAUGAAAUUAAAAUAUUUUUGAAAUCGGUCAAAGGAGACCCGAGAAAAAAACUGAUUCAAAUGUUCUCCUCAGAUAGUCACUUAACAAAGUCUUUGGCAUUUGCCCAGUACUGGGAGUGGUCAAAGUAGGUUCUUUACUUCACUCUUAACAUGAAAUCAAAAUAUUUUUGAAAUCAGUCCUUGGGGUCCGGAGAAAACCCGGUUCUAAUAUUCCACAUGAACAGUCGCUUUACAAAGCCUGUCUUAUUUACCCAGUAGUGGGAGUGAUUGAAAUAGGUUCCUUAAUUCACUUUUAACAUGAAAUUAAAAUAUUUUUGAAAUCAGUCAAAGGAGACCCGAGAAAAAAACUGAUUCAAAUGUUCUCCUCAGAUAGUCACUUAACAAAGCCUUUGGCAUUUGCCCAGUACUGGGAGUGGUCAAAGUAGGUUCUUUACUUCACUCUUAACAUGAAAUCAAAAUAUUUUUGAAAUCAGUCCUUGGGGUCCGGAGAAAACCCGGUUCUAAUAUUCCACAUGAACAGUCGCUUUACAAAGCCUGUCUUAUUUACCCAGUAGUGGGAGUGAUUGAAAUAGGUUCCUUAAUUCACUUUUAACAUGAAAUUAAAAUAUUUUUGAAAUCAGUCCCAGGGGUCCCGAGAAAAACCGAUUCAAAUGUUGUCCUUAGAUAGUCACUUAACAAAGUCUUUGGCAUUUGCCCAGUAGUGGGAGUGGUCAAAAUAGGUUCUUUACUUCACUCUUAACAUGAAAUCCAAAUAUUUUUGAAAUCGGCCCCUGGGGUCCGGAGAAAAACCGGUUCUAAUAUUCCACAUGAACAGUCGCUUUACAAAGCCUGUCUUAUUUACCCAGUAGUGGGAGUGAUUGAAAUAGGUUCCUUACUUCACUUUUAACAUGAAAUUAAAAUAUUUUUGAAAUCGGUCAAAGGAGACCCGAGAAAAAAACUGAUUCAAAUGUUCUCCUCAGAUAGUCACUUAACAAAGUCUUUGGCAUUUGCCCAGUACUGGGAGUGGUCAAAGUAGGUUCUUUACUUCACUCUUAACAUGAAAUCAAAAUAUUUUUGAAAUCAGUCCUUGGGGUCCGGAGAAAACCCGGUUCUAAUAUUCCACAUGAACAGUCGCUUUACAAAGCCUGUCUUAUUUACCCAGUAGUGGGAGUGAUUGGAAUAGGUUCUUUACUUCACUUUAACAUGAAAUUAAAAUAUUUUUGAAAUCUGUCCCAGGGGUCCCGAGAAAAACUGAUUCAAAUGUUCUCCUUAGAUAGUCACUUAACAAAGUCUUUGGCAUUUGCCCAGUAGUGGGAGUGGUCAAAGUAGGUUCUUUUGCUUCACUCUUAACAUGAAAUUAAAAUAUUUUUGAAAUCGGUCCCUGGGGUCCGGGUGAAAAACCGGUUCAAAUAUUCUCCAUGAAGAGUCACUUUACAAGGCCUGAGCCAUUUGCCUAGUAGUGGGAGUGAUUGAAAUAGGUUCUUUACUUCACACAUGAAAUUAAAAUAUUUUUGAAAUCGGUCCCAGGGGUCCCGAGGAAAACCGGUUUAAAUGUUCCACAUGAACAGUCUGUUUACAAAGCCUAUGCCAUUUGCCCAGUAGUGGGAGUGGUUGGAAUAGGUUCUUUAAUUCACUCUUAACAAGAAAUCAAAAUAUUUUUGAAAUCGGUCCUAGGGGUCCUGAGAAAUUAAUCUGAUAAGACUUUUCUGCCAAAUAAGUCUUACUCAUAUGUACGUAUAUAGUCAAUCUCAAUGCUCAGGAUCUCGCUGUCAGGAUUCAGUACUGGAAAAUGUUGGAAUGGGUUAUUUUUUUUACUGUGAUUUUCAAAUAAAUUCUAAAAGCGUUGGAUUCUAAUAAGAACUGGGAA